UACGGAGGGUGCAAGCGUUGUCCGGAUUUAUUGGGUUUAAAGGGUGCGUAGGUGGCUUGUUAAGUCCGGGGUGAAAGCCCACAGCUCAACUGUGGAACUGCCCUGGAUACUGGCGAGCUUGAGUCCAGACGAGGUUGGCGGAAUGGAAGCUGUAGCGGUGAAAUGCAUAGAUAGCUUCCAGAACCCCGAUUGCGUAGGCAGCUGACUAGGCUGGUACUGACGCUGAGGCACGAAAGCGUGGGGAGCGAACAGG
rnacentral:rRNA from 1 species